CGCGUACUCGGAGGGUCCCUUUCAGAAAAAGGGCGGCUUCUCUGAGUCCCCGAAAUGUGGGAGGGCUUGAGAGCCACAGCACCAGGCUCUGAGAAGGGACUGGAAGUACGGCCUGACGUUCCCGGAGAAAGGGAUUAAGUGUGAGAGAAAGAUGGGAGCGAAGGGGAGCUGCGCUUGCGGUGGAAGGAGCGAGGUAUCCUGGAGAGGAAAGCGAGUCCCGCGUUCAGUCAGAGCAGGAAUCGCAUCCUGAGCCAGCAGAACCUCCGUUUUCUCGCAGACAUCACAAGAUUGUUGUUAGGAUUUGAAACGAUCAUUUAUCCAACGAAUACUAGAGGUCGACUAUGUGCCAGGCUCUGCUUAGCACUAGGGAUUCAGUAAUGGAACAAACAAGUCAACAAACGAUAGACAAGAUCAGUUGAACUGGUAUCAUUACCAUUUGCUCUGAAGCAAAUGAAAUAGAAUGAUGGGGGCACUCAUUUAGUUUGGGUGAUCAGACAAGACCUCUAUGACAAUUGACAAGAACAGAGGGUAUUUUAGGCAAAGGGGACAGCUAAUAUAAAAGCCCUGAGGAGGGAACAGUCUGGUGAGCUCAGGAACAGAAAGGUCAGUGUGGCUGCAGCAGAGUGGGCCACAGGAAGAAUGAUAGGAGAUGAAGUCAGAGGAUGCAACACACGUUAGGGCCUAAUAACCCAUAGCAAAGGGUUUAAGUCUACUCUGUGAUAGGGACAUAUGAAGGGUUUUAAAGAGGGAAGUGACAAGAUGCUAUUUGUGUUUCUUAAAAAGAUCACUCUGGCUGCUGCGUGGAGAAUAAACUCUGGAAGGCAAGAGUAGAUAGGGGGAGAGGCCUUGGAUUAGGAUGGUAGGAGUGGAUGGUAGGUGAUGAAGCUGCAGGGACAGUCUCAAAAAGCUCAAUAUGAAAGUGACUUCCUCCCUCUUCCUCCCUUCCCCAAAGGACAAAAUUUACCAUAGAGAAAGAACAAAUGCAUUUAUGUGGCUCCAAGGGACAGGGCUCGGCUCAACAAGUUCACAUACAUUAUUUUAUUUGAACCCCACCAUUCCAUUUCCAGGAGGUAAAGGCCUCACCUCAGUUGCAGCUUUUGGUGGAGGUUUGGGUCACUUCUCAAAUUCUCUCCAUUCUACAGCUCAGCUUUACCCACUUAUUGCAGAUCCCUACAGAAACACUAGAGUUGUUUUUCUCCUUACCACAAACAAAAACAGCAUUGGCAAUAAGGGCUGAAGAUAAGAUUCUACUGGUAGCAUCUCUGAAAUAGCUGAUAGGGAAGUGGGGGAAGCUGGCUGGUUUAUUUGGGGACUUCAGGGUCAUAAGAAAAUCCAAUGUUGGACAGGCAGACCCAGGCUUUUUGGUCUCUGGGAACUCGGCAAUGACACAUUCAGAUGUGUGAUGACUUCCUUUUCUGGCUCCGUACAGCAAGCAUGCGCCUCAUCUACCAUCUGUCUCCUCUCUCCAUGUCUGUGUCUCCGUCUCCCUACCACCCUCCCUCUCCCCUGCCAACACACUUUGAUUACCUGGGCACAAGCUGACCUGGAAGAGUGCCUGGCUCUUUAGAAAAACCCUCUCCUCAUAACCUUUCACCCUAUUAUGUUCCUGAAUCAUUCUACAUUCUACUCCCAACCAACUUUUUGAAGAAGAUGAUGUAAAAGUUCAGACACAGGCCCCUUCUUCCAGUUUUGUUUUCUAAGGGAGACCUGAUUCAUCCAGACUCAUUGCUGAAUAAGAGACUUCCUUCUUCCUCUUGCCCUCGCUACCUCAAUUUGGUGGUGUAACUGGAUGGGUACUAUAAGGGGUGACUACUCCAAGGGUCAUGCUGGAGAGGGGCUCAGAAUUUGCAUUGUGUGGCCUCCCCCCCAAGAUGGGAAUACAUCUUUGCUCCUGCAGCCCAAAGUCAGGAGGCUUGGGCUGCUGUUUUCUUCUGUGUUUAUCAAAGUUCCUUAGUAUAGGCUUCUGGGCUCUCUUGGUUUCUUAAUAGCUAUUGGCUGACUGGAGACUAUUUAGUUGCCUGUUUACCUGGGCUUAGAGGGUGACGUUUCUGUGGUCAGGUUGUGCAAAUCUGGAGAGAGGAUAUGUAAACAGGACAAGGCUGUUUUCCCAAAGGCCAGGACCCAGAAAUAGUUCCUUGUGUUUCUGACCUAUUUCCCCCUCCCUGGACAGAAAGCCACUGAGCAAAUGUGCAAUAGUAAAACAUAACUACAAGUAGCUAUAUCCUGAUGGAGAUUGAUUUGCUGAUGACAACAAACUGUAGCCUUCCACCUGGAAACAAGGCAGGACUGACCUUUCCCCGCACUUUGCUUCCUAGGCAUUAUAGUGGCCUAUGAGCAGAAUUUGCCAUGCCUUCCAUGGACCGUUCUUUUUCCAAGUCAGGUGAACCCAGCCUGCAGCUCUGAGUCAAUGGAGUUUCUCAGAUAAAGUGCACCCAAAAAUGUUAUUUUUCAAGCACCAGUAAAGACACUUGUUUUAAUCCUAUACCCCUUUCACAUACUAUAGAGAAAGAGGGUGACUCUUAGUGUUGAAUAGAUCUAGGUGGGAUUUCCACAUCUAUGGACAAGCUGUGGCUCUGGGCCAGUUUCUACAUCUGUACAAUGGAGUUAAAUCCUUUCCUUGCAGGGCUGGUGUGACAGGAACAUGCCAGCUUCUUCACCAAGCCUGGUCCUAUGAAGGGGUGCCUCAGUACACACUGGUUUCUCUUUCCUCUUACUCCCCUCCUGCCCCCGUGAUAGUCAUCCUUCUAUUUUGCCAUUAACCUGCUCAAGAAAGGACUUUGUCCCCAUCUGCGUUUUCUCUGCAAGAAUGUGUCUGCCUCUAAGAAUGGAGAGUAAACCCACAGUAUACAAGGGACUGUGGAGGCUGAUUCACAAGAGUUCAGAAAUUCCGACAGAGCUGCACAAGGAUGAUGUCAGAAAUAAAAGUGGUAACUCAGAAACCAGUGACAAGUCUAUCAGCCUGGUUUCACAGAACUGGCAGCCCACUGGCCUCUGCCUCCUCUGUCUCCUACUCUCCUUGUCUUUCCCUGAAAAGCAAAUCUAAUGAUUGGCAAAAACAAAACCAAGGAUGGAGGAGAGGGGCUGGCUAGUCUGUUAUUUUGUGAAGCCAUUCAUCUCUGCCAGAUUUAGGUUUACCAGGAAAGUAGGUUGAAAUAGACGUGUGUCUGCUUUGUUCUAACCCUAUUCUUCUCUGGAUAGUGGUACCAAUCGGUAUUCUGGGCUUAGAAUGACAGAAAUGUCUGUGCCAGGCAUCACAGUAAACAUUUCACACAGAUGAGCAUGUUAUAUUUACACAAGCCUCUGAAGUACAUACCAUUAUUAUCAUUCCCAUUCUUCAGAUGAAGAAACUAAGGCAGAGAGCUGUGGAGUAGCUUGUCUGUGGCCUCAUAACUACAGGGUGGGAGAACACCAGGAUUUGAACUCAGGCUGUCUGGCCACCCUGAUCCCACCUGCUACCAACCUUCUGUGCCCUCUCAGUUCUCCCCACCCAUCAUGUUCUUUGCAGUCAGGACCCCAGCUUUAGGUGCCCAAAGCUUUCUGUGGUCCUGGUCACUUCACUUGGGCUAAGGAGCCAAUUAACUAACUUACUGAGCCAUCCCGUGCCAAUGGGGAAGGGCUGGAGGAAACCCCACCCCCAUCCCACACAUACUCUGGACAGCCCUCACUCCUACCCCAGGAGCAAAUGCCAUCUCAUCCUGGACAUCUUCCUUGAUUUUGUCCUGAAGUCUAUACCACUUUAUACCUCUCUUGGGACCUUUACCUCCUUCCAGUAAUUACUUGUGUCUGUACAAGACUUCAUAGUCUCCAAAGGCCUUUCCCAUCCACCUAGUCCAGCUUCUUCCCAGGCCUUUUAACCUCCUUCUCUAACUGGGAUGGCAUUGAGCAUGGUGGUUCAGCACCCGAGCUCUGGAAUCCAGUCUGCAGCAUCCUCGCUCCACCACUUGCUAGCUGUGUGCCGCUGGGCAAGGUACUUGCCCAACUUCUCAACAUCUCAGUUUCCAUAUCUGUGAAACUGGGAUAAUAAUAAUGUCACCCUCAUCUGGUCGGAGGGUUGAAUGAGAUGAACACACAAGCACACACAGCACCCAAACUCAGUAAGUGCUGGCUCUUGUUAUCAUCUCACUAAAUCUUCUCCCAAAACUCCUGUGGGAAUAAACCUCCCCAUCACCCUCCCACACACACUCUGGUUCUUGUCAUCAGUAAAAAUGAGUCUGAACCAGAUGACCUUUAAGCUUUCUUCCAGCUCCGUCAAGCUAUGAUUGUACCAUGAAUCACAGUUAUUAUGGACACAUUUUAACUAUGCCAUAGCAAUCUCCUGAAGGCCCAGCCCUUAACAUAGGGCGUUGUAUACAGUUGGCUGUCCUGCCAGGGUGAUGUUAGCACCUAACAAUAGUUCUUGCCUCAUCCAUGCAUUGGGAUGAACAAAUGAGAAAAUUCCUGUAUAGCAUUUAGUCCAGUGCCUGGCACUGAGUAAGCCCCUAAUAAGUCAUAGUUUCUAUUAUUAUCCCAUCUGAUACCGAUAAGAUUCCCAAACAUGGUCAUUAAAAGCAAAGGAGCCACACUGGGUGUGGACUUAUCCUAGUGCUGAUCCUGUGAGACCUUGAGCAAGUUAAUUCACCACCCCGUGCCUCAAUUUCUUCCUCUGUAAUAUGGAUGUGAUUAUGAGUAACUUCCUAAUAAGGUUGUUGUGAGUUAAUAGAAGGGCACUUAGAAUUGUGCCUGGCGUCUGCUUUGUAUAUGUAAGUGCUUUUUGUCAUCAUUUACAGGUGUCAGUGGCACCAAGGGACGUCCCCAAGCAGUAGUGGAGUUGGGAUCCAAACCUAAGCUUGACUGAUUCCAGAGCCUCGGUGCUAAUAUUAGGAGAUGUUGCUGCCCUGUGCGAUCCCUGUGCAUUUCAGCAGGAGCCUCCGUGUCCACUCCUGUCAGUUGCCUUCCCUGGCAAAGGAGUUUUUAUAAUGUGCAAUGCAGGUGGAUGUGACCAUCUUGGAAGCCGUGUUAAAGAAGGCAGAGCCACAAGAUAGAUGCAGCCAGGUUCUCUAAAUCACCACUGGGGAGAAACCUACACACCAAUGAGGAAUACCCAUUUUUUGGAUUUCAAGAGCAAGAAAUAAACUUCACUUGUGUUCAGCAUUA